GAUGAACGCUGGCGGCGUGCCUAAUUCUUGCAAGUCGAGCGAAGCGGGGACGGGUGAGUAACACGUGGAUAACCUCCUAUAAGACUGGGAUAACUUCGGGAAACCGGAGCUAAACCGGAUAAUUAAAGAUGGAUCCGCGCUGCAUUAGCUAGUUGGUUAGGUCACGGCGUACCAAGGCAACGAUGCAUAGACGACCUGAGAGGGUGAUCGGCCACACUGGAACGGAGACACGGUCCAGACGCCUACGGGAGGCAGCAUUAGGGAAUCUUCCGCAAUGGGCGAAAGCCUGACGUAGCAACGCCGCGUGAGUGAUGAAGGUCUGCGGAUCGUAAAACUCUGUUAUUAGGGAAGCGGUACCUAAUCAGAAAGCCACGGCUAACUACGUGACAGCAGCCGCGGUAAUUC
rnacentral:rRNA from 1 species